GUGAGUUGUAGUGGUCAGUUUAGUUGAGUUCACGCAUUGAGCGGGCCACUACGUGCGUCUAAUUUGCCUUUUCAACUGAUAGGUUUUAGAUCGGCAUUAUUUUUCUGACGUGUUCAUUAUAUCAUUGACACGCAUUGUGGCUGAAACAACACCAUUGGAGCAUCAAGUUCACGUGGAAUAGCUACCUCAGUUUGAAGUAAAACAUCAUAAAAUGAUAUGUUUUGUCAUUCUUCAACGUUGGAGGAAAUGACUGGAAAAAGGAUGAUCCCGUUGACAGGACUACUUAGUACAGCUACGCCAACGAUCUGAGCCAUAUACACACACCUGUGACGCAGAGAAUUUUCAAGUUUUACA